CAAGAAGUAGUUUUUCGAGAUCAGCUUCUCCAGCUGAAACAGGCGAUGAAUCGUGAUCCAGUUUUCGUGUUUAGAAAGUCGUCUUAUCUGAUGAAGGAACUUAUGGGAUGUCCAUGGUGAACGAAGUUAAAGAACGAACGCCAUCGAAAUCUGCUCUUCCGCCGGCUCGUUUACCACGUUCGAAAGGAUGUCGCUAAUCUAGGCGAGGCAUGUAGGUGUGAGCCUUGAAAUCCAUGCACGUGUAACGAAUGCCAGUUCGAUCGUAUCCAGCAUCACAUUUAAUACGCAGCAAUCCCAUGCAGUGAGCAUUUAACAGUAUAGUCUUUUCAGAAAUGCCCGUUACUCUCUCCUACGAUCCACGGAUUGGAGUGAGAAGUAUGGGAUUUAAAAAAAAAAAAUAGAAAUUCGUUCCACGAAUCUCCUGGAAGACGUUAUGGAACACCCACGUGAUGUAUCCACCGCCAAUUAUGGUAAUCGAAGCGUCGCGACGUCUGUCCGUUAUGCGGGUACAGAACAAAUACUUGAGCAUCCAUCGGGGCGACGGGUGAGUUUUGCAUAACCAUACGUUCCCUUGGUAAUACGUUCGUCCUUUCGCCAGCUAUGGUGAGAAGCAUUUCGACCGGUAGCGAGAUCUUGACGCCAGAUCCUGGAUAAGGGGACCAGGCAUAAUCCACCUAAAAAGUCCGCGAGAACCGGGAGAGAUUCUGGACUGGAUCGGGUCUGUUCGAAAGAAAAGGGAGUGGUGCGUGAAUCACGCGUGUGGGCGCCACAGCACGCCUCCCCCUUGCACUGGCUCUCACCGUCAUCUGCUUCUGUCUUCUUUUCUCGUAGCGCAAUUCUUGCCUCGAGAGACGCCUCGUUCGCUCCCACCAGCCCCCAGCGGUGAGCGGGAGGCGAAUCAACACGGUGCCCAGGGUCCCACGGGUUUGGUUGUGCCAAACGUAAACAGGAGGGAAAUAACAAGGGAGCUUGCGAAUCUUACGGGAGACACGAGGAGAAUCGCAAUUUCUCACAUCUAGAUCGUUAAUGGAUGUUCAUCCAUGAUAUAUAUAUAUAUAUAUAUAUAUAUAUUCGGUCGUAUACAUAUAUAUAAGACCGUGAAAUUCUCAAGCUCCGUUUAUGGAGUCUCAGCAAUUCACCCAUCCAAGUUGUUCAUUGCUGCUGUUAAUUCGGCUGUUUACGUCUCUUGGUUAGGAUCACUUGGGACGACCCUUGUAAAUUUUUUAUUCUUCUCUUAACACUCCCGUUACUUGGAUCGAGCGAAUAAAAACUUAGUUCGAA